rnacentral:rRNA from 1 species
UACGUAGGGUGCAAGCGUUGUCCGGAAUUAUUGGGCGUAAAGAGCUCGUAGGCGGUUUGUUGCGUCGGCUGUGAAAUCCCGAGGCUCAACCUCGGGUCUGCAGUCGAUACGAGCAAACUAGAGUGUUGCAGGGGAGACUGGAAUUCCUGGUGUAGCGGUGAAAUGCGCAGAUAUCAGGAGGAACACCGGUGGCGAAGGCGGGUCUCUGGGCAACAACUGACGCUGAGGGACGAAAGCUAGGGGAGCGAAUGGG